rnacentral:rRNA from 1 species
CAACAGGGAUUGCCCUAGUAACGGCGAGUGAAGCGGCAAGAGCUCAAAUUUGAAAUCUGGCUCCUUUGGAGUCCGAGUUGUAAUUUGUAGAGGGUGCUUUGGUGUCGGCUAUGGCCUAAGUUCCUUGGAACAGGACGUCACAGAGGGUGAGAACCCCGUAUGUGGCUGCUAGCCUUCACCAUGUAAAGCCCCUUCGACGAGUCGAGUUGUUUGGGAAUGCAGCUCUAAAUGGGAGGUAAAUUUCUUCUAAAGCUAAAUAUUGGCCAGAGACCGAUAGCGCACAAGUAGAGUGAUCGAAAGAUGAAAAGCACUUUGGAAAGAGAGUCAAAAAGCACGUGAAAUUGUUGAAAGGGAAGCGCUUGCAGCCAGACUUGCUCGUAGUUGCUCAUCCGAGCUUUUGCUCGGUGCACUCUUCUGCGAGCAGGCCAGCAUCAGUCCGGGCGGUUGGAUAAAGGCUCUGGGAAUGUAGCUCUCUUCGGGGAGUGUUAUAGCCCAGGGUGUCAUGCAACCAGUCUGGACUGAGGUCCGCGCAUCUGCUAGGAUGCUGGCGUAAUGGCUGUAAGCGGCCCGUCUUGAAACACGGACCAAGGAGUCUAACAUCUAUGCGAGUGUUUGGGUGUCAAGCCCGGGCGCGCAAUGAAAGUGAACGGAGGUGGGAACCCUUCGGGGCGCACCAUCGACCGAUCCUGAUGUCUUCGGAUGGAUUUGAGUAAGAGCAUAGCUGUUGGGACCCGAAAGAUGGUGAACUAUGCCUGAAUAGGGUGAAGCCAGAGGAAACUCUGGUGGAGGCUCGCAGCGGUUCUGACGUGCAAAUCGUCAAA